GCCCCAUAACUCCGCUGCAGCCUGAGGGGAGCCAGACACACUCUCAGGCCCCGAAUAUAGAAAAAUUAUCGGAAAAAAAUCGGAAAAAAAUCCCAAAAGCACAGAUCGCGAGGAGAAAAAGUCGCGGAGCGUUGGCGUGGGUUCUCCCGCGGCGGGUGUCGGGUCCGGUCCGGUCCGAGAUGGAAGGUUACCGGCGGGGCUCCAUGUGAAACUGACUAAUGCGGUGCUGGAAACUUUUUGGACAGUGAAAAUGCAGAGCAGUGUUUCCCACUCACCGCCAACCAUAGCUGUUGGGACUGGGUGAGGAGGAGAGAACAAGAAAGCGAAGGAGAGGAGCGAGAGUCAGAGGGAGGGCGAGAGAGAGAAGAAAAGUGCAGACGAAAGAAGGACAAGUAAUAUUUCAACAGAUUUUGGCUUACCUUGAUGUUUCCGCUGGAUCAUUGGCCCUUCCUGUGAGCUGUCGAGCAUCUUUUUUCCAUAACCCCCUCCCCCCUCCACAACUUCCCAAGUUGAGCCUGCAAGGCAGGGGAGCCACAAGUGUAUUUUCAUGGCAGCGGCACUCUAGGGCUGCCAUGGCAGCUACUGCCGCCGAUGCCUCACACCGUAUUACCACACUGACGCCGGAGGAAGAGGGACGACGGACCGCCGCCAAGCUGUUUGGGAGCGCCGCCCCGCUGCCACGGAUAGAGAGAGAGCGAGAGAGGGGGCGAGAGAGAGAGAGGGAGAGGGAAGGAGAAGGAGAAAGGGUAGGGAAAGCGAGUGGGAACGAGUGUUUGGUGUGCGGGGCCCUGUUCGCCUCACAGGAGAAGCUACGGCUGCACGCCUUGAGUCACACAGGAGAGAAACCCUUCCACUGCUCACAGCCACACUGCCCCAAGGCCUUCAGCUCCAAAUACAAACUCUUCAGGCAUAUGGCCACACACUCUCCACAGAAGACCCAUCAGUGUUCGUUCUGUGAGAAAAUGUUCCACCGCAAAGACCACCUGAAGAACCACCUGCAGACCCAUGACCCUAACAAGGAGGCCUUCAAGUGUGAAGAGUGCGGGAAGCACUACAACACCAAGCUGGGAUAUAAGCGCCAUGUGGCCAUGCACUCUGCCACGGCCGGGGAUCUCACCUGUAAAGUGUGCAUGCAGAGCUACGAGAGCACGCCCGUGCUCUUGGAGCACCUCAAGAGCCACUCCGGGAAGUCUUCGGGCGGCACCAAGGAGAAAAAACACCCGUGCGACCACUGUGACCGCCGUUUCUACACACGGAAGGAUGUGCGACGGCACAUGGUGGUCCACACGGGCCGAAAGGACUUCUUAUGUCAAUACUGUGCCCAGCGCUUUGGCAGGAAGGACCAUCUGACACGCCACGUGAAGAAGAGCCACUCGCAGGAGCUGCUGAAGAUCAAGCCGGAACCUCCCGACAUGCUAGGGCUUUUGGCUUCUGGGUCACCCCCUUGCUCUGUGAAGGAGGAGCUCAGCCCCAUGAUGUGCGGCAUGGGUCCUAACAAAGACCCCAUGAUGGGCAAACCGUUCCCCAGUGGGGCCCCUUUUCCGAUGGGCAUGUACAACCCCCACCAUCUCCAGGCCAUGUCUAAUUCUGGGGUGGGUCACCCGCACCCGUCCCUGAUGCCCAGUCCCUUGUCUGCAGCUAUGGGCAUGGGCUGUCACAUGGAAUCCCCUGGUCCUCUUCACCCACACUCCCACCAUCACCACCAUCACCACCACCAUCACCACCACCACCAUUCCCCUCCGCUGCCCCAGCACCACCAGCCCCAGGCUCCCCAGCAGCAGCACCAGCCCCAGCAAGCCCCUAAAUACCAGCUGGGAUCUACCUCAUACCUGCUGGACAAGCCCUUGAAAGUGGAGAUGGAGAGCUUCCUCAUGGAUCUGCAGAGUGGCUCUCCAGGCCCGGUUCCCUCUGCAGAGCCACAUGCUGCUGCCUCACCCCACAAGGACGGACUGGAGCCCACCUCGGGCCUGGUGGACGAGCUUUGUGGGGACCACCUCCUGUCCAAGAGCCCUGCGGUGAUCGCAGAGUCUCUGUGCGCUGCUAACAUGGACUUCUCCCACCUGCUGGGCUUCCUGCCCCUCAACCUGCCUCCCUACAGUGCCCCAAUGAGCACGGGAGGGCUGGUGAUGGGCUACACCUCAUCCACGACCCCUUCUUCUUCCUCCUCCUCUUCCUCAUCUCUGCACACUGCCGAGCCCCAUGCCGCAGCAGUCGCCACAGCACCUCUUACCUCUUUGCAACCUCAACCUCAGGAGCAGCAGAGCUCCAGCGGGGGUCUGGGCCUUGGACCCCUGCACCCCCUCCCACCAGUGUUCAGCUCCAGCCUUAGUACCACCACGCUGCCUCGCUUCCACCAGGCCUUCCAGUGAGAGAGCCAGCCCUCGGCCAAGCCAAGAUGGCCUCCAUACCAGCCACAGCUCAGUAUGGAUAUUUCGGGUUGGGGUUCUUUUGGAGGGCCUGUUGACGAAGUUGGAGAAUUAGUAUAAAUAAAUACACAAAUGAACACUUAGAAGCCUUAUCUGAAAGUGCACAAAAGCUUUUGAUUGAGCCUUAAAAGGAAGUUAGACCCCUUUGAGCAAAAAAGGAAAGGUGUGAAAAGAAGUUGAAGGAGCUUGUAUUUGGGCUUUUUGCCCCUCCCAUCCCCCCAUCCUAUAGUUAUAACAAUGUAUUAACCCAUCCUUUUCUAUUUCCAUUUACUUCCCCUUUUAUCCCCCUUCCAUCCCCUAUUAAGUAGUAUAGAGGGCAGGAUCAGUAGGCCAAAAGGCAUGGUACUGCAUACUUUAAGUAAUAAUAUAAAAAAAAAAAAUCAAAGAUAAUAUUUUAGUGAACAUUAUCUGUCUUGUUGUGACCCAGAAAAAAAAUAUAGUUUGAAGUGGAUAUUUUGUUUUACUUUAUUUUUCUUUUCCAAAUGUAAGAACAUGUGUCUCAUCUUGAGUUUUGAACCCCCCCCCACUCUAAACGUCACAAUCCGUACAGAGAGCCACUGCGCUCUCUCUCUCUCUCUCUCUUUCUCUCUCUCUCUCUCUCUUUCUCCCAUUGAAAGAAUGAAGAGACCUAGACAUUCACACAGUCAACGAUCGAACCUUAACUCUUAAAUCCCCCUCUAGACGACUAGAGCCUCAAACUCCCUCUCUGCCUCUAAAGAAGUGCUCUUUAAAUAAGAUUACAAAAAAACAAACAAGAUAGAUGUCGCUUUUAUUUUCUUUAAACUGUAACCGAUGUGCUCCUAGAGCCAGGUCAGUUGUAUUGAAAAUAUCUCACUAAAUGAAAAACAGACUCUUAUCAUACGAAUGAUAAGAGACCGGUUUGCUGCCGAACACAGAGACCAGUCACACACAUGGCCACAGGAAAGGGGAAAAAAAAGAGAAAGAAACCUGGAUGAAAGUGUGUGAGUUGGGUUGAAAAUGAUAUAAUAUCAUGCUGGCUUUUUUUUUUUUUUUUUUUUUACUUGUUCCUUAAGAGAAGCACUUUAAAAAAAAAAAAAAAAAAAAACAUUUUUCAGAAGAAGGCACUUAACCUUUAGGAACCUUUAGGGAACGUUUUGUCUCCUUUCUCGCGACUCCCAGAGGUUUCCACUGCCUGAGACAGAGACGUUCUCCUCACUCUCCUUCCGUCACCCUUCCGACAGUUAUCUUUACAAAAUUCCCCAGAGAAUUGCAUAAUGAUAAUUGCAGCAGUUACGUGGCAGCCCAACAUAUAUAUAUAUAUAUAUAUAUAUAUAUAUAUAUAUAUAUAUAUACACAUAACACAUCUUUAGGCAGUCUUUCAAAAAGAUGCAUCAUCAUGGUAAUGAUGAACCCUGACAUAUGUGAAUGGCAAAUAAAAACAAAAGAAUUUCAGUGACAGAUGAGUAUAAAACAAAUGUGUUAAAGAAUGUUAUUGCAGUGUACGAAAUAUCUCAAAAAUGAAUAUUAUUAUUGCUUUUAUCUCGGUAAGGUGUAUUUUUAGGUAGACGUAUUAAAACUAAGUGAUGAUGUUUUUUUGAUGUCUGGCAGGUUUACAUUUGUGUGUAUCUUGCAUUUUUGAUCAAACAAAUGGAUGAAGUAUUAGCUUUUUCCCUUAAGCUUUCUCUGUCAUAACCGAUCUUUACCUUUACAUGUACUUGAGUUAUAGUAUAGCGGAAUCAGAGCUGUGGAGGGGAAAUAUCUAUAGAAGGCUGUUAGAAUUAGGUUGAACUAGAUAGAUUGUUGGGAUGCUGACAAUGGAUGGCCGACAAAAUCUCUUGACCGUAGGUCUUUUAUCCAGUGGAUUAUGUAACCCCUGCGCUGUGGUGAAAUCCUAAUUUCACUACAAGCUCAGUGGUAAGUGGAAGUCUUGGAGUUUUAGAUCCUUUCUAACCAUUCACCAACAGCCUAUUACAAAACCUGAGCCCAAAGUUAACCCGAAGCUUCAAAGUGAAAUCGGUGCUCUUCAUCUAACGUUCGGUCUGUGGCAUGACUAACAGCAACUGGCGUAUCCAUGGCAACACACGGAGCUGAACUCCUUCAUCAUCUGGGAUAGUUCAUUUUGUACGGAAAAUGUUGUUCCAGUCAUAGAUCACAAGACCUGUUCACUUUUGCCUAUAGCCCCGAUCGCAGGUUAAAUGUUGAAUACAAAAAAAAAAAACAACUAAGGACAGAAACCAGGAAAAACAUAGAUCAUGACAACAUGAGAAUUAAAACACACAUCCAUAUUGCUGCUUUUAGCUACGGUUGCUGACAGACAACAACUGUAGACCACUAGAACAUUUACAUUUUUUUUUGCAAGAUGGACAGCGAGCUGAAAACAUGCACAAACGGACCGACAAAGUGUUUCAUCAUCCCCAGGCCCCCCCCCUCUGUACUCCCCCCCCCCCCUCUCCAGCUGCUUUGUAAGUCAAAGGUAAAGGGUCGUAAGAAAAAAAAAACACCUUCACCGUUCCCAGGCUUGACAUUCAAAGCGCAGGGGGACACUGACUGACUGCACAACUCAUAGUCAUUAUUUGUUAUGUUUGUUGUCAUAUGAUAUAUUAUUUUUCUGUUGUUUAAAACAGGACCUCGAAAAAA